CUCUGCUAUAUAGUAGGGGAAAAGCAGUAGGUGAGCGAAGAAGUAUGUCUGAAACCUUAAUAUUCAUAGGAGUAGUCGAGAAGUUCCUGGAUGGUCUACUGCUUCAGCCCAGAUUCUUGAGUGCUUAUCAAGCCCACAGGAGAUCAAUACGUCAUCAUCAAACGUGAUGGAGAACAGCGACGAGGCUGUUUACAAAUAGACACACGAGUGUUUAUCCGGUGAAGAGUGACUGAUGGAGGGAUGCUGCCAUCAAAGGCUUUGAAUUUCUGUGCAUUUGAUGCAGAGCUUUUGUGGUGGAGCAGGUGACAGCGGCAUUUGUGGAGAAAAAAGAAAAGAAAUACUUAAAACAAAAAUAUAAAGUAAGAAAAAGUAUGAAAUCAGUUUGUUACUUCUAAUACAGAAAUCAAAUGACAUUGUGCUGUUAAAAUGACUGUUUUUGUUGUUUGUGCAUCGUUGUAUGAUCUGAAAUGUCCACAGACUGCUGUGAGCAGUGAGGAUGGAGAGCCCACACCAGCAUCCUGGAAAUUAUCCAGUGCCAUGAGACGCUCCAUCACUGCACCUGACCUUACUCUCUCAUCUGAGCUGGAUGCUGCUGGUCUUUUCUUGUCCUGCUGGUUUCUGUUCAUACAACAUCAGUCAAUAGAGCCCGAGUUUCAGAAGCUUCAAAAGCGUCAUGAAUCUUCUGAAAGUCAGGCUCGACUGACUGAUAUCAUAUGAACAGAAACCAGCAGGACAAACUUGACCAAAAUCACCUUUUGUGUUGCUGAAGGACACACUGAUGGUGAUGACUGC